rnacentral:rRNA from 1 species
AACGCGAAAGGCUCCUUCGGGGGCCGAGUAGAGUGGCGCACGGGUGAGUAACACGUAGGUAAUCUACCUCUGGGUGGGGAAUAACAGCCGGAAACGGCUGCUAAUACCGCAUAAUGCAGCGGCACCACAUGGUGACAGUUGUUAAAGCGGGGGAUCGUAAGACCUCGCGCCUAGAGAUGAGCCUGCGGCGGAUUAGCUAGUUGGCAGGGUAACGGCCUACCAAGGCAACGAUCCGUAGCCGGCCUGAGAGGGCGGACGGCCACACUGGCACUGACAUACGGGCCAGACUCCUACGGGAGGCAGCAGUCGGGAAUUUUGGGCAAUGGGCGAAAGCCUGACCCAGCAACGCCGCGUGAAGGAUGAAGCUUUUCGGAGUGUAAACUUCAUAAGAAUGGGACGAAUAAGGAGGGGUUAACACCCCCUUUGAUGACGGUACCAUUUGUAAGCUCCGGCUAACUCCGUGCCAGCAGCCGCGGUAAUACGGGGGGAGCAAGCGUUGUUCGGAUUUACUGGGCGUAAAGGGCGCGUAGGCGGCGCAACAAGUCACUUGUGAAAUCUCCGGGCUUAACCCGGAGCGGCCAAGUGAUACUGUCGUGCUAGAGUGCGGAAGGGGCUACUGGAAUUCUCGGUGUAGCGGUGAAAUGCGUAGAUAUCGAGAGGAACACCUGCGGCGAAGGCGGGUAGCUGGGCCGACACUGACGCUGAGGCGCGAAAGCCAGGGGAGCGAACGGGAUUAGAUACCCCGGUAGUCCUGGCCUUAAACGAUGGAUACUUUGGUGUCCGGG